AUAUACUGUAUAUAAAAAACAUCUUAUUUUAUAAUCAAAAGAAUUUGAGCUGCUUGCAGCCAGUUUUACAGGGAUCUGAGGUAUCAGCCCAGACUGCACAGUCUGGAGCAGACAACAUUUUUAUCACUUACACUUUUAUACUUGUAAAUGUUUUGCACACCGUUUUCUAUAUUAAAGGAAAAAAAGGAGUUGGCGACUAAUUCUGUAGAAACUCCAGUGGAGCCUGCAGCUGCUGGUCAAAACAGAGAAGAAGAGCAGAAAAUCUUCUCUGCAAWCAAAACAGAGUCUGGAACCAGAGCCUCGAAAGCUGAAGCAGCAGCUGAAGGUCCGACUCGUGUGCUGUUGGUGUGUUUGGGGACACUUUGUGUCCUCCUGACAGCAGGUAUCAUCGCCCUGUUGA